GGGGAAUCUUAGACAAUGGGCGCAAGCCUGAUCUAGCCAUGCCGCGUGAGCGAUGAAGGCCUUAGGGUUGUAAAGCUCUUUCGUGGGGGAAGAUAAUGACUGUACCCCAAGAAGAAGCCCCGGCUAACUCCGUGCCAGCAGCCGCGGUAAUACGGAGGGGGCUAGCGUUGUUCGGAAUUACUGGGCGUAAAGCGCACGUAGGCGGACUGGAAAGUCAGGGGUGAAAUCCCGGGGCUCAACCCCGGAACUGCCUUUGAAACUCCCAGUCUUGAGUUCGAGAGAGGUGAGUGGAAUUCCGAGUGUAGAGGUGAAAUUCGUAGAUAUUCGGAGGAACACCAGUGGCGAAGGCGGCUCACUGGCUCGAUACUGACGCUGAGGUGCGAAAGCGUGGGGAGCAAAC
rnacentral:rRNA from 1 species